UUUUGCUUUAAAGAAUCCCAUAUAUCCUUUGCCAUAUCUUUCUUCAGGAUGGUCUUCAGUAUUGAACAAUCAAUGGCUUGGAACAUAUAGUUCUUAGCCUUGAGAUCUCUCAACUUUUGAUCCUCAUAAGUCUUCUUCUGUGUCUCACUAAGAUCCGAUCCUUUUGCUAUAGCAAUGAUCCCCGUCUCUAUCAAGUUCCAAUACUCUUUGGAACGCAGAAAAUUAUCUAUCAGCAUACUCCAAUGGUCAUAGUGACCAUCAAAUCUUGGAAUGGCAGGUUGCACGAAACUACUCUCGGAUGCCAUAUCUUGAUUUCUUCACUCCAGUACCUUAAAACUCAAGCUUUUGAUCAGGCACCAUGAUGGGGCUCUGAUACCAGAUGUUAGAACCAAAAGAUAGCACAGAGCUUUUGCAAAGUUUGAGUGCACGAAAACUG
rnacentral:lncRNA from 1 species